UACGGAGGGGGCAAGCGUUGUCCGGACUUACUGGGCGUAAAGGGCGCGUAGGUGGCCCGGUCAGUCCGUGGUGAAAGCGCGGGGCUCAACCCCGCGUCGGCCAUGGAUACUGCUGGGCUGGAGCACUGUAGAGGCAGGCGGAAUUCCGGGUGUAGCGGUGGAAUGCGUAGAGAUCCGGAAGAACACCGGUGGCGAAGGCGGCCUGCUGGGCAGUUGCUGACACUGAGGCGCGACAGCGUGGGGAGCAAACAGG
rnacentral:rRNA from 1 species